UGAUGUUGCUGCUGAGUCAUUAAAACCAGAUGAUCCGUGUUGAAGAUACGUUUAGUUCUAGUAUCAGAAGUACAAGAAGGAAAAUGGAAGUUUAGUUCUGCUACAUCAAAGAUUUCAGGAAUAAAAUAACUAAAUGAGUCUUUAUGCCUCAAACUUAAUUUUACAAUAGUGAAAUAAGCACAGAUAAUAAAAAUUUAAAUAGCAGAAAAAAGCUGAGAGAGCUUUUUAUCCUGAAGGAUCAGAAUCAGCUCCAACAUCUGCAUCUGACAGCAUCAAGUCAACCAGAAAGAAAAGAAAAAAGAAAAUGACUUCUUUCUGAUCACAUCUGUUCCGCUGCUCACAGGCUGCUGCUGCUCACAUUCUUCACAUUUAUAGUCCACUUUUAAAAGUUCAGCAGACAGGUGCUCUGCUUUGGAGUGUGACGAUGUCGUCGGUGAUGUGGAGAGUGAAGUUCCCAUUUCAGCCACAGCGUGCUUCAGAGUUGGACUUGAUGUUUGAAAUACUGACCGACAGCUCAGAUUUAACUGUCUGUAGUUCCGUUUUGAUGGAUGUUAAACUUUCACUCAAAGCCGCCAGGAGCUGGGUCUUUAAAAUAACCGCCGUCUCGUUACAGAGUGAAAGUAGCCGUUCCUCCUGAAGGUCAGAGAUUGCAGCAUCUGAGGGCCUCUUCAAAAGAAGACGUAGUUGAUGAAGGCGUUCUGGAGCAGGACCAGAAAGACCACGACCAAGCAGCCUUGAAAUCUUAGGCAGCGUCUCCCUGAGGUCCCUCUCUAUCUCCCCACACAUCCACCAACCACUGGAACACAUCUCCAAAGUUCUGCUGGGCCAGCUCAGCUUCCCCUCAGAAGAAGUGGCGCCACCUGCCAGAUGAAGGAGCCUUUUGAGAGGCAGCUGGCAUCGUGAUUGGACUGUACUUUGGUCUGUUCCAAUCCAGCUUCAGCUCCAGAGACGGCAGGCGGGACGAGUCAAUGGAGGCCGGCUGGACGAAGGCAUGCAGCUGAGUACAAUCCAGAAAACAACAGAGGAGGAGUGCAGCAGUCCAGGGCCAGAACAACCGGAGUAGCAUGACCAAAGAACUACAGACUCUUCACAACCUGCUCAAACUCUUGGUACAGGACCUCACCACACGGGUCAAGAAGGUUUCCUUCUCAUUUCUACUCUGCAGCUCACCUUCUCCUGCUCAAACUGCUGACAAAUGUUUCUGCUGCUCUAAAGUCUGGUCUCCAGAACUUCCUAAAAACUCUCAAAGUCUCUUCUGCUGCAGGUUGCUUUGUAGAACUGUUCCAGAAAACCUCACUAAACCACAUGGAGGAGCCUCAAGAUAGUCGUCCAAAUGAAACUGUACAAAAACCAAACUAGCACAACCCAAAUACUAAAGUCUCCUGCAGCCUACCAGAGAACCUCUGAGAACAGAGAAUCAGGACAGGAACUCUUACCUUCUGGACAACCAACGCUGGUUCUCAAACAAGAAUACAGAAUGUGUCUGACCAAAAACCUCUGAAGACUCACUACAGCCAAGAUAAAGACACAACUCAGCUGCAUCAAAUCCACUAAUCACUGCACACAUUAGCACCAUGUGCUAACUGUGGCUAAAGAACCACAUUUACCAAGACAACUAUCCAGUACAAAGCCCUAAAACACACCAAGAAACACAUUAAAGACGAUUUUACUGCUGGAAGCUGCAAGCUAACGCCUA